CUAUCGUCGAUGUAAUUUAAUUAAACAUAAAAACCUAUUGCUUUUUUAUUAAAAUAGUAAUCAAAAGACUGGAGAAAAACAGUUUCUAGAAAACAAAACCAUUGAUUGGAGCAAUAUGCUAUUUGAUAUAGGUUGUAUAGGUAUAGGUCUGUUCAAAAUUUUUAAAGAGGUUCUGCAGUGUGUUCUUCAUUUCAAAUAAGCUCUUUUGUGAAGAGGCUUACUGUUGAUGGACGUGAAUAACCUACUAUCCUGGUGGUGUAUUCAGUAUUGCACGUGUGUGCGAACAAUAAACAAAGGGUUUUCUAUAGUUAACAAAAUACAGUAGAAUUGGUUCCUUUAGAAUGAUAUGCUUUUUAAAGGGACAAAAAUGGUAGUACUUUGGCACAACUGGGUUAGCACAGGAGACUAAUAUUUUUUUACAUUUUUGGUUCCUUGAAUAAAAUAUAUAUAAGUAAUUGCUCAAAUAUUGUACGAGGGCCAUACCUCAUAUCAGCAAUCGAUUCUAAAUCUGUUUUCCUACUUGGUAGGUACUUUUUCGUAAAUUAUAAUAUAUUGAUGUU